rnacentral:rRNA from 1 species
GAUGAACGCUGGCGGCGUGCCUAAUACAUGCAAGUCGAGCGAACGGACGAGAAGCUUGCUUCUCUGAUGUUAGCGGCGGACGGGUGAGUAACACGUGGAUAACCUACCUAUAAGACUGGGAUAACUUCGGGAAACCGGAGCUAAUACCGGAUAAUAUUUUGAACCGCAUGGUUCAAAAGUGAAAGACGGUCUUGCUGUCACUUAUAGAUGGAUCCGCGCUGCAUUAGCUAGUUGGUAAGGUAACGGCUUACCAAGGCAACGAUGCAUAGCCGACCUGAGAGGGGGAUCGGCCACACUGGAACUGAAACACGCUCCAGACUCCUACGGGAGGCAGCAGAAGGGAAUCUUCGGCAAGGGGCGAAAGCCUGACGGAGCAACGCCGCGUGAGUGAUGAAGGUCUUCGGAUCGUAAAACUCUGUUAUUAGGGAAGAACAUAUGUGUAAGUAACUGUGCACAUCUUGACGGUACCUAAUCAGAAAGCCACGGCUAACUACGUG